GCGUCUGUAGCUCAGUGGAUAGAGCGUUCGACUCCGACUCGAAAGGCCGCAGGUUCAACUCCUGUCAGACGCACCA
rnacentral:tRNA from 1 species